AUACUCCCUUUGCCAGCACAUACACUAAAAUUGGGGCAAUAUAGAGAAAAUUACCAUGGCUCCUAUGCAAGGAUGACACAAAAAUGCAUAAUAAAGGGUUCCAUAUUUUU
rnacentral:snRNA from 1 species